CUUCAAUAGUUACUUAUAAAAAUUAAAAUCCUAACUUAGAAAAAAACAAAAUACCUUCUUCAGAAAUUUAAAUUGAUCGUGUACCAUGUCUUCAUCUCCACCUCCUCCAGCUUCUUGUUUAACCAUUGA